UCCUUCCAGGGGUGCGGGCCAUGGCUGGGCACACUUGGCGCCUCCCGCCGCGCUGCGCGAGAAACCGUUAAAGAAAGGGGAUGGCAAGAGAUAUGGAAGAAGUUGUAAUAGAGAGAGGAAUGGGGAAUGGCAGGUUUUUUUAUUUUAUUUUAUUUUUUUUAAGAAGAGUUGUGGCUUCAUGCUGAUACUGUGCGUGAGCUAACGCCAGCCCUGUUUUUCCUGAAGGUGGAUUCUCAGUAUUUGGAAGGGGUAGGUGGGGUGGGCGCGGGUUCCUUUGGUUCUACGGCACCGAACUUCUUGUGAGUUCCAGUUUGGGAGCUGGGACGCAGAUGUCCUAGCCGGGUCACCUCUUUAUUUUGGGGUCCCUUCCCCCCUCCAGUUCACAAAGUGUCACAAAGCUGGGGUCCCCUCUACCGCCUCAGCCGGUUGCCUUUAGCCAGGACUGAUCUGCACUUUGGGCAAUCCCUGCAGCCACGGUCGCUUGUCCUGAAGGGGUUGUGUGACACGUUUCGGGGAACCCAAGAUGUGCCGGCCGCUGCCAGGCCACAGAAGUGUCAGGUUCGCCGGCUGGCAAGUCGGAGCAGGUGUGGAUCGGCAUUCAGAAGGAAGCGAGGUGACGGGGAGUUGUGACUCAACAGGCUGUCGGAAAAAAAAAAUCAAUGGGAUGAUUUUAUCCAGGGCUGGAGCAGAAGAGCCACACCCGUUCUGAUCUUCCUGGCUUUGAUGGAAGGCUUCACCCAUCGUUAGUCACCCGCUCCACCGUGGGUCUUAACCGGCGGCCGCUUUCCGAGAUCCUACCUUCCCAAGGAUGAACACCCACAGGGGAUUGCUUUGAGCUUCCAUUGGCAGCCUGGUCCCCAGCCUUGAGGUUAAGCCCAGGGCAUUGUGCACCUGACUUUCAUGCUGCAUCCAGAGACCAUUAAGGUGCUUGGAGCAAUGGGACUAGGUUUUUUGUUUGUUUGUUUGUUUGUUUUUUUCUUCUUUUAAAGAUUUAUUUGAGAGGCAGAAUUACAGAUAGAGGAAGAGACAGAGAGGUCUUCCAUCCACUGGUUCACUCCCCAGUUGCCUGCAAUGGCUGGAGCUGGACCGAUCUGAAGCCAGGAGCUUCUUCCGGCUUUCCCAUGUGGGUGCAGGGGCCCAAGGACUUGGGCCAGCUUCCACUGCUUUCCCAGGCCAUAGCUGAGAGCUGGAUCGGAAGAGGAGCAGCCAUGACACAAACUGGUGCCCAUAUGGGAUGCCGGCGCCACAGGCGGUGGCUUUAUCAACUACACCACAGUGCCAGCUUCAGGACUAGGUUUUGAGAUCCAGGCACAGUUCGCAAGUGGGGUUGGGAGAGGAGCAUGGGUGGCUGGGGCUUUGGGAGGCCGUGGGCAUCUCCUGGAGUCCUGGGCCCUGUAGGGCUGAUCCUGUGUUCUGCUUCAUAGAUUUUCUCUUUUUCUGCCGGUGCAGUUGCAUGCGUGUCGUUUGUCAGAAUCCUCUGGAAACCAGUGAGUCUAGUUUUGGCUCCGUGACACUCUGUCGUGUUUGCUUUAAGGACUAAUCAGGUGCCGAUCUUCCAUUUACAGCUGGGGUUGGCUGGGACCUGCCGCCUGGCCCAGCUGCUUCUCCUAAGUCGCUGGCUGGGGGCAGGAGGCUGUAGGUUUCCCAAGUCCCAGUCGGGGGCGGAAGGUGGUAGGAGGCAGAAGCCAGUUCUACAGGCACAUCAGGGUCUGGAGGGUUGCCCUGAGGUUCCCGGGCACCGGCCUUGUCCGGCCAGCUGUCGUCUGGGCAGGCCAGCUUGCACUGGCCCCUGGUGGUGCCCGGGGACCAUGAUUCAUGAAGAAAAUGAAAGGCCUUCGUGGAGAGCUGCUGUCUGAGAUGAGGAUUGCUUGCAGGUGGGGAAUUCUGAGUCUCCAGAAAGUUGGGCCCAGCCGUCUCUGCAGCGCCUGUACACACGGCCGUGUUGCCCGCCACGUGCCGAGACCCCAGAUGUGAAUCGGAGGAGCGGCUGAAGUUAGGAACCGGAGGGAAGUGAGGCCUGGUGCCUGCAGUCCACGCAGCAGGUUCUCAGGGAAUGGAACGUGUACAGCCUGGAUGCACUCUUAGGACUUUCUGGAUCCUAACAGGUUUUAUUUUUUACCCCCAAAUUAUGAGUUUUUUUGUUUUGUUUUUAAUUUGAGAGGCAGGGAGAGAAAGCUCUGUUUCACUCUUCACAUGGCCAGGGCCAGGCCAGGCCAGUGCUGGGAGCCAGCACUUCGUCCGGGUCUCCCACGUGGGUGGCAGGGCUCCAAGUACUUGAGCCAUCAGCUGCUGCCUUCCAGGGUGCACUUGAGCAGGGAAUUGGGGUUGGGAUUAGAGCUGAAACUGAAAUCCAGACUCUGUGAGUGCUGGCAUUAACUACUAUGCCAAAUGCCUGCCCUGUUUUUUAUUUAAAGGGCAUUUUUUUUUUAAAGAUUGAUUGAUUUGAAAAGCAUGGUUGCAGAGAGAGAGAGAGAGAUAGAUAGAGAUGUCUUCCUUCUGCUGAUUCACUCACUCCUCAAACAGCCAGGGCUAGACCAGGCCAUAGCUUGGAGCCAGGCACUCCAUCUGAGUCUCCCACGUGGGUGCAGGGGCCCAGGUUCUUGGGCCACUUUUCACUGCUUUCCCAAGCACAUUAGCAGGGAGCUGGAUCAGAAGUGUAGCAGCUGGGACUCCAACCAGCACCUGUAUGGGAUGCCAGCAUUGCAGAUGACGGCUUAGCCCACUGGGCCACAAUGCUGGCCCCAGGACGGUUUGUUAGAGUGCUUUCAAGUUCACAGGAAAAUUGCGUGGAGAAUGUGGAGAUUCCCGCAUAACCUCUGCCCAGCAGAAGUGUGUGUGUGUUGCCGUGGAUGAACCUGGACUGUUACAGCACUGCCCCCCAGAGUCUGUGGUUCUCAUUAGGGUUCACUCUUGGGGUCGCACCAGCUGUUGGACUUCCAGACUCCCCGGUUGAGGGGCCAGCGCUGUGGCACAGCGGGUAAAACCGCCACCGCGAUGCCUGCAUCCCAUAUGGGCGCCGGUUCAACUCCUGGUUGAUCCACUUUUGAUCCAGCUUCCUGCUAAUGCACCUGGGAAAGCAGCGGAGGGUGGUCCAAGUCCUUAGGCCCCCGUACCCUUGUGAGAGACCUGGGUGAAGCUCCUGACUUUGGCCCAGCCCAGCCGUGACUGCUGGAAACAUUUAGGGAGUAAACCAGUGGAUGGAAGAUCUCUCCUUCCCCGUCUCUCUCUGUAACUCUGCCUUUCAAAUAAGUAAGUAAAUCUUCAGACAACCAAACUGCUGAUCGAUUUAGCCCUGGGAGCCUUUAAGCUCUGUGCCCUGCCGUAGGAGAAAGAGGGAUCCCGUGCAGGCUUGGCCAUCUGUCCCUGGGCUGUUUACUGAUGUUCUGUGGAUGGCCAUGGAGCCUGCUGGCUUGAAAAGGAGAAGUGUGGAAAAAUCGCGAUGUGGGGAGGGGGCCGAGGUCACGCUGAUGCUCAGGUGGACGCGCUGGCUUGCCCCUGAUGGCUGCACACUGGGGGAGUGGGCUGGCGCUUCUCUUUCAGAGCUGAGAGCCCCUUAUGUUUGAGGGGAGGAGCUGAGCUCACCCCACGCUGCUGUGUUCCGGGCAUGGUGACAAGGUGCUUGGUGCAAGGCCCUUCGUGAGCUCCUCAUCAGCUGUCUGUGUGCCAAUAAGGAUGCACCAAGGAAGUGAGAGUGCAGGGCCGCAGGGCCGGCGUGGACAAGGAGCCGUUCUUCCUUCCCGCACGUGGUUGUCCUGCUGCGUUCUCCCCACCAGACAGGCCGGUCCAGGGGUCCUUCCGGCUCCAAACUCCCAGGGUCAGCCUGAGGGGUCAGAGCACGUGGCCACGAGCCCUGCCCUGUGCAACCGCUGCUUCCCUGCUGUGCCGCAUGGGCUGUGUAGUGUCAGUGAUCCUUGCUGUCUCGAAGCUUACAGAUUGAUGGGCGACAGGGAAAUCCGUGUGUGUCAGAUGGGAACGAGAUAGGAGAGCUUGGAAGCAGCAGCGGCACUGGAGAGCGCCCUCCCAUCAGCAGAGCGUCCAGUGGAGUGUGUGUGUGUGUGUGGUGACAGCAGAGUCUUUGGAGGGCACCCACGUCUGCCAUCUGUGACUCUGCAUCAAGUCCUUUCUUUUUAAUGAUAAAAUAUAAAUAACAUGAAAUUUAUUGUCUAAAGGUGGUUUGACCAUUUUGGUUUUUUAGAGAUUUAUUUAUUUAUUUGUAAGGCAGAGUCAGAGAGAGAGAGAAAUCUUCCAUCCACUGGUUCACUGGCCAGUUGGCUGCAAUGGCCAGGGCUGGGCCAGGCCCAAGCCAGGAGCCAGGAGCUUCUUCCUGUAUGGGGUUGCAGGGGCCCAAGGGCUUGGGCCAUCUUCUGCUGCUUUCCCAGGUGCACCAGCAGGGAGCUGGGUUGGAAGUGGGGCAGCUGGGACUUGAACCAGCACCUUUAUGGGAUGCCAGCACUGCAGGCACUGGACUCAGUGCAGGUGCAUUCCUGGUCCCCCAGCAGAGCCUGUCUCAGCCUUCUGUGUCGCACACAGGGAAGAUCUCUCCUGCCUUUCACAGCCUGUGGGCUGGGUUUCAGAGGUCGCACACUCACUCAAAAGUGUCUUAAGGGCACUGGCGCUGUGGCAAAGCGGGUAAAGCUUCUGCCUGCCAUGCCGGCAUCCCAUAUGAACACCAGUUUGAGUCCUGGCUGCUCCGCUUCCGAUCCAGUUGCCCGCUGACAGUGUGCAAGGGAAAGCAGCAGAGGAUGGCCCGAGUGCUUGGGCCCUCGCAGCCAGGUGGGAGACCCCAUCUCCUCCUAAUCUCCUCCCGGUAUUUCAGCUUUUCCUUACAGAACACUAGGACGAGCCCUAGGUCCUUUCCUCCUUUAGCUCCAAGCCCUGUGAACCCCUCCCCCCUUAUGCAGGUGCCCCUUAGGUCUCGUGUCUCUCCGUGAACUCCCGUGCGUCACUGCCCGUUGUCGCGUCUUCAUUAAGCCACUAAUUGGCCCGAUGUGUUGGCGCCGGAAUGAUCACUGCCUUGUUUUUUGUUCCCCCUGGAGUGGUUGACUGGACCCACAACUGGUUUGAGUAACCUGGGGGCAGGGAAAGGUCACUCGCGGGCACCUCUUGAGACCGGAGCCUUGAGUUCCCCGGGUGGAGAGUGGGCAGCUCCAGAAUCUGGGGCUGCUAAAGCCAUCAGCAGGAUGGAAACGGAGCCCAGUGCAGAUUUUACUAGGGUUGUCUGGCUCAGGACGGCUGACUUGUUUUGGGAACAGAACGAAGCAUUCCGGAACAUUUCACUAAGGAAGGAGAAGGGAGUGUUGUUGACCCGAGUGUGUCCAAGGGAACAUGCCUGCCCUGUGACUCUCUGCCUUCAUUUGUCGCUUCUGGCUUUGGGAGCCGCCUCCCUCCCUUGCUCAGGAGUCUCGUGUGACUGACGUGACUGCUGUCCCCGCCAGGACAGGGUGCAGGUGAGUCGCGCGCAGAACCCACCCGGGAGAGAGCACGGCGGCUCCAGGCCUGGGCCGCUGCUCCCUCUGUGGUUUGAGUUUGCGGAGGCUCACUGGGCCUCUUGAGCCUGCUUAGGUUGCCGAACAGUAGGUCUGAAUUUUGGCUAAAGCUGCUACUUUCUGGGUCAAGGCUGGGGGUAGGGAAUGUGUGUUAAAUGAACUAUGAACCCCUUGGGAGUCCUCAGCUCUGGCUGGAAUGCAACCACUGUGGCUCAGUUAGGGUUUUUUUUUUUCCCCUUGGAAAAAUGUUGUUUUUUCAUUAAAAUAUGUUGUUUAUGUAGCAUGCAUGGGUUUAUUGUUGACAUUUUAUUGCAGAAUGUAUACAACAUAUGCAUGAGUUUUUAAAAGACUUAUUUGCAUAUUUGAAAGGCAGAGUUAGAGAGAAGGAGGGAAGGGCCCAGCAGAAGCCAGGAGCCAGGAGCUCCAUCCAGACCUCCUGGCUUGGAAGUGGAGCAGCUAGGACUUGAACCAGCACUCACAUGGGAUGCUGGCAUGCAGACAGCGGCUCAGCCCACUACAUCACAGUGCCAGCUCCAAGACUUACGUAGUCAUUGAUUUGAAUGGCAGAGUGGGAGAGACAGAUCUUUGAUCUACUGGUUCACUCCCCAAUGGCUGCAACAGACAGGGCUGGGCCACGCCAAAACCAGGGGACAGGAACUCAAUCCAGGUCUCCCACAAGGGUGUCUGGGAGAUCUGGGCCACUGUCUGCUGUUUUCUCAAGCACAUUAGCUGAUUACUGUUGGAGCUGAUCCAACAGUAGAGCAGCUAGGGCUCGAACUGUCACUCUGAUGUGGGAUGCUGGAGCUGCACGUGGCAGCUUAACCGCUGCACCACUGUUCUGCCUCCCUUUUGUACCAUUGUGAUCAUUAAACUUAUUUAUGCAAGGGGCCGGCACUGCGGCAUUGUGAAAGCCAGUGCUGCAGUGUGGAGUGCUGGCAUCCCAUAUGGGUGCUGGUUCAAGACCCGGCUGGUCCCCUUCCAAUCCAGCUCCCUGCUAUGGCCUGGGAAAGCAGUAAAAGAUGGCCCAAGUGCUUGGGUCCCUGCACCCGUGUGGGAGGCCCGGAAGAAGUCCAGGCUCCUGGCUUUGGAUUGGCCCAGCUCCGGCUGUUGCAGCCAAUUGGGGGGUGAACCAGUGGAUGGAAGACCCCCCCCUUUCUCUCUUUGCCUUUUCUUCUCUCUGUGUGUAAUUCUGACUUUCAAAUAAAUGAAUACAUCUUUUUUAAAAAUUAUUUAUGUGUUUAUUUUAGAGACAGCCACGUUCCCUUGGUUCACUCCCUAAAUGCCCACGACAGCCAGGGUUGGGCCAGGCCAAAGUCAGGAUCCAGGAGUUGGAAUCUCAAUCCAGGUCUUGGUGAAUAGCUGGGACCCAACUGCUUGAGCCAUCACUGCUGCCUCCCAGGGUGCACAUUAGCAGGAAGCCAGAGCAGGAGCAGAGCUGGGAAUGGAAACCAGGUGCCCUGAUGUGGGAUGCGCUGGGCCAAAUGUCUGCCCUUAGUUAUUUCUUUUUAAAUAUUGCUUUAUUUGAAAGGCAGAGAGACAUGUUUUUCAUCCACUGGGUCAGUCCCCAAACGGCUGCAACAGUCAGUGCUGGGCCAGGCUGGAACCAGGAGCCCGGAACUCCAUCCAAGGUCUCCCCCUGGGUGCAGAGGCCUAAGCACUUGGACCAUCUUCUGCUGCUUUCCCAGGCGCAUUAGCAGGGAGCUGGAUCACAAGCAGAGCAGCCGGGACUUGGAACUGGUGCUGUGAUGCGGGAUGCUGGCAUGGCAGGCGGCAGGUUAACCUGUUGCACCACAGCGCUAGACAGCCCUAAUUACUUCAGUGUACAGUUUAAGACCUUAAAUACAAGAGUACUUCAGGAAGUUCUUGGGAAAAUGGAAUUAAAAGAUAAAGUUCGUUUGAGGCCCAAGGAAAGUUUUAAAUUCAUGCAUGAUUAUUUUUAUAAUAUGCAUUUUUCAUAAAUGUUUUGAAGACCCUUGGUGUGUAGCUCAUAUGUUGUGCAAAUGUCUCUACUACCCAUCACUGGGACUUUGAUUUUCCCAGACUGAAGCUCCGUACUCAGAAAACACUCUGUCCCCAUGUCCUCCAACCCCUGGUGUCCGCCAUGUUUUCUGCACAGACUCCCUUAUCCUGGGUGCUUCGUGUAGGUGGAGCCCUUUAAUAUCUGUCCUGUGUCUGGCUUAUUUCACUCAAGUUGGGCUCUUUCCAGUUCCCCGGAAUCAUGCUGUCGUCAUCCUUAAUUCCCUACCUCUGAUCUUUUUUUUUUUUUUUUAAAGAUUUAUUUAUUUACUUGAGAGGCAAAGUUACAGAGAGAGGUCUUCCAUCUGCUGGUUCGCUCCCCAAAUGGCUGCAACAGCCAGAGCUGGGCUGAUCCAAAGCCAGGAGCCAGGAGCUUCUUCCGGGUCUCCCAUGUGGGUGCAGGGGCCCAAGCGCUUGGGUCAUCUUCUGCUGCUUUCCCAGGCCACAGCAGAGAGCUGGACUGGAAGUGGAACAGCCGGGACUCUAACCGGUGCCCAUAUGGGAUGCCAGCGUUUCAGGCCAGGGCUUUAACCUGCUGCUCCACAGUGCCCCCCCCCCACCCAUUGUCUUUUAAUAAGGACAUCUGUCAGAUUAGCUUAGGGCCUACACCGGUGACCUAUUUUAACUUAAGUCACCUCUUGAAAGACUUUUCCUUCAAAGGCACGGGGAGUCAGGACUUUGACAUGGGAAAGUUGGUUCCACCCUUGACGCUCAGUGAAUCCCUUGUUGGGCAGUGGAGGAGGGAGCUGCCAUAGCAGAGAGACGGUGCUUGCGCUGGCCAUCCCCACCUAUGUUUUAGGACAGAUUUCGUGAGAGCGUCCGGUGAGGUUAGGCAACUUAGCCACGACCUAGGGCUCCAUGGUCUGCCUUUUCUCUCAUUUAAAAAGUUAGGAUUGGGUCAGGUCAUUUCUUUUAAAUUUAAAAAAUUCUUUUCAAUACAAUGUUUUCCAUAAUCCUGAUCCUGGUUCCUGUUUCUUUCUUUUUUUUUUUUUUAAUGUUUUUUAAAGUUAUUUGUUUGAAAGACAGAGUUAGAGAAUUGGAGAAAGAGAGAUCGUCCAUCUGCUGGUUCACUCCCCAGACAGCUACAGUGGCCAGGGCUGGGCCAGGCUGAAGCCAGAGCCUGGAACUCCAUCCAGGGGUCUCCCCUGUGGGUGGCAGGGCCCAGGUACAUGAUCAUCUUCCACUGCUUUUUCUAGGCACAUUAGCAAGUAGCUGGAUCAGAAGUGGAACAGCUGGGACUCAAACUGGUGCCCCAUGGGAUGCCGGUGCUGCCGGUGGAGGCUUUAGCCAGUGCACCACAACACCAGCCCCUUCUGCCUUUCUUUAUUUUAUUUCUUUAUUUUUUUUGACAGGCAGAGUGGACAGUGAAAGAGAGAGACAGAGAGAAAGGUCUUCCUUUGCCAUUGGUUCACCCUCCAAUGGCCACUGCGGCCGGCGCGCUGCGGCUGGCGCACCGCGCUGAUCCGAUGGCAGGAGCCAGGUGCUUCUCCUGGUCUCCCAUGGGGUGCAGGGCCCAAGCACUUGGGCCAUCCUCCACUGCCCUCCCGGGCCACAGCAGAGAGCUGGCCUGGAAGAGGGGCAACCGGGACGGAAUCCGGCGCCCCGACCGGGACUAGAACCUGGUGUGCCGGCACCGCAAGGCGGAGGAUUAGCCUAGUGAGCCGCGGCGCUGGCCCUGCCUUUUUUUUUUUUUUUUUUUUGACAGGCAGAGUGGACAGUGAGAGAGAGAGACAGAGAGAAAGGUCUUCCUUUUUGCCGUUGAUUCACCCUCCAAUGGCCGCCGUGGCCGGUGCGCUGCGGCCGGCGCACCGCGCUGAUCCAAUGGCAGGAGCCAGGAGCCAGGUGCUUUUCCUGGUCUCCCAUGGGGUGCAGGGCCCAAGCACCUGGGCCAUCCUCCACUGCACUCCCUGGCCACAGCAGAGAGCUGGCCUGGAAGAGGGGCAACCGGGACAGAAUCCGGCGCCCCAACCGGGACUAGAACCCGGUGUGCCGGUGCCGCUAGGCGGAGGAUUAGCCUAGUGAGCCGCGGCGCCGGCCUAGUCCUGCCUUUCUUUAACCACCUGUGCCUCUUCAAUCCCUCAGGCAUACCUGGACACAUACCCUGCAGAUGUCUCCAUGCAGGUUUGCUGUUGGUCUUUUGUCUUUUAAAAGCCAACAAAUGAAAACAAAACCCAGUAGUGCCAACGCAUCUUCCCCUAGCUGUGUGUCUUCCUUGAGCUGGAUGAGUGCAGCUGUUUCCUGUUAAUCCUCUGUCUGUCUGGCUUCCUUCUUCAGGGUAGUGAGAUCCUGAAGACAAGGACAGAAUCUGUCCCCCGGGACCUGCCACACACCCUGGGCCCUUCCCCACUGUUUUUUUUUUUUUUUUUUUUUUAAUGAUUUUUUAAAAAAUUUAUUUGAAAGGUAGAGUUACAGAGAGAGGGAGAGACAGAGAGAGAGGUUGUCCAUCUGCCGGUUCACUCCCCAAAUGGCAGCAACUGCUGUAGCUGAGCCAAUCUGAAGCCAGGAGCCGGGAGCCUCUUCCGGAUCUCCCAUGGUACAGGGGCCCAAGCACUUGGGCCAUCUUCCACUGCACUCCUGGGCCACAGCAGAGAGCUGGACAGGAAGAGGAGCGACUGGGACUAGAACCGCGUGUGCCGGCGCCGCAGGUAGAGGAUUAGCCUAGUGAGCCACGGCACCGGCUCUCUCUGCCUUUCAAAUAAAUAAAUCUUUAAAAAAAAAAAAAAAUGCACGCCCCAGAGGUUAGCUAAUGAUGCUCAAAGAAAGAACAGCUCCAAGGUCACGGAUGCAGUCGCCAGCCUGGGCCUGGGCUUGGGCUGGGGAGACUGGGGCACCCCACUCUGUGUCAUAAACACGUCAUUUGUUCACAGAGGCCAUGAGACAUUCCUGGGCCCUCAAAACCAUCUUGUGAAGUGGCUCUAGUGAGAUAAUUAUCAAAAUUACAGGUCGCCCUCUGGUCGUGGCCGAGGGGGUGCAUGAGACCGACACACAGACCUGGAAUGACCCAGGUCGAGGUCAAGGCGACCGCAGAGUGGCCAGCACUGGCCUCCGUCCUCAGACUUGAGCAGCGAUGUUUGUGGCAGGAGAAGGGACACAGAGUGACUCCCUGGUGGGGUAUGGGUCAGUCUAGAUCGGUCGCUUGGCAGACAUGUCCUGUGCACCUGCUGUUUCGGGCAGGGCAGGUGCUGAGUAGCAUGAGCUGGGUCCUCGCUGCAGGUCCCUUUCAGUCUGGUGGGAAAGCAGUCACUGAACUGCAGCAGAAGUCACCCGGCCCCUCACUCCAGGCCGUUCUUUCGAGUUGUCAGUCAUCUAGGGACUUGAUUUCCCCUCUCUUAUUUUAUUUAUUUGAAUUGCAGAGUUGGAGAGGGAGAAGGAGAGAGAGAGAGAGAAAGAGAGAGAUCGGUCAAUCUUCCAUCUGCUGGUUCAGUCCCCCAAAGGCCGCACGACUAGGGCUGGACCUGGCCAUAAGCCAGGAGCCAGGAGCUUCUUCUGGGUCUCCCACAUGGGUGCAGGGGCCCAAGCACUUGGGCCAUCUUCUGCUGCUUUCCCAGGUACAUUAGCAGGGAGCUGGAUAAGAAGUGGAGCAGCCAGGACUGAACCGGCACCCAUAUGGAAUGCCAGCACUGCAGGCAGAGGCUUCAACCUGCUGCGCCACGGCUCUGGACCCUGGUUUCCCCUCUUAUUUUGCACAUUUCCAGGACUCUGGAUGAUAGCGUCUUCCAGAGCUCGUCCCUGGGAUGCCUCCAGCAACGAGCGUGGGGAGGGGUCUUCAGGAAGAUAGAACUGUGUGUCCUUCCACUCUUGUCAUUCAUCGGUCAAGGGCUGUUCCCUAGAAUUUAUGGGCUAGGGGCUUGGUCCUGGUGUGGCAAUGUUGAGCGGUGCUGGACCCUUUAAGAGGUAGGGUCUCACGGAAGAGGACUAGGUCUUGGGGGCUCCACCAUCUGUAGGGAUUCCCACAGAAGUGGGUUGUUAGCAGUGCGCCUGGUACCUCCCUGAAUCUCUGGCUUCUUGCUCCACCACUGCCCCUUCUGCACAGUCUGUUCACAUCCUGCUUCUCAGCUGGCUGCAUGCUGUUUCUUUCUUUUUUAAAGAUUUGUUUUAUUUAUUUAUUUUUUAUUAUUAUUUUAUUUAUUUAUUUGACAGGUAGAGUUAUAGACAGAGAGAGACAGAGAGAAAGGUCUUCCUUCUGUUGGUUCACUCCCCAAAUAGCCACAGCGGCUGGAGCUGCUCCGAUCCGAAGCCAGGAGCCAGGAGCUUCUUCCCAGUCUCCCAUGUGGGUGCAGGGCCCAAGCACUUGGGCCACCCUCCACUGCCUUCCUGGGCCACAACAGAGAGCUGGACUGGAAGAGGAGCAACUGGGAUUAGAACCAGCACCCAUAUGGGAUGCUGGCACCACAGGUGGAGGAUUAACCAAAUGAGCCAUGGCUCCAGACUUAUUUAUUUAUUUGAGAGGUAGAGUUAUAGACAGUGAGAGGGAGAGACAGAGAGAAAGGUGCAUACUGUUUCGACUUUGCCAGCACCAGAAUCAGGAGCUGAGACGUCUCGGCCUGAGCUGAGACAGGCUGCAAAUGCCAUCAGUUGUCCCCAGCAUGAGCAGGUUCUGGGAGGUGCAGGGGGACGAGGCCUGGCUAGAUGCAGAGCUGGCUGGCCGUGUGCACAGAGGCUGGGAGCGCAGCCCAGGGAGCACAAGGAAGGAGCCGAGGAGACUGCCAGGGGACGCUGAGAGAAGAGGAACCGCAGUGCAUCAGCCACAGUGGGAGGCAACCAGGCAGAGCCAGGAGUGAGCGGCCCGGGGGGUUGAGGGCUGGGGGGUGGUCCCUCCACUCAAGUGUGUCUGGAGAUGCACUUUGCUCUGUUGCACUGCGGUUGUCCAUCGGCGUGCGGUGCAGUGCGGCGGGAGGAGCUUCUGUGUGCAUCACAGUGGGCGCCGUCUGUUGGACCUAGUUCCCGGGAAAAGACAGACCUUGAAGGUGGAAGAUCCGCACCCACCCCCUUUUGGGAACCCUGGCUCUUGCUGCCGUGUGGCCUCAUGCAGGGGUGUCGUUCCCCCUUGGCCUUUGUCGGCUGGAGAGGAUGACCCCCCACACUGCAACCUCUCAUCUGUUGGGGGGCUAUAUAUGAGAGGCAGGUGCAGGCUCUUGUCUGGUUCUGCGGAGUCUCCCCCAACACACGUCUGGCAUGAUUGAAUGCUACUUAGCAAGAGGUGGUUAGGAGGAGGGCGUGGUUAAGUGGGGACAGAUCAUCUCAGCUGCUCAGCUCAGCCCAAGGUGGGUCUCCGGGGCCUGGGGGGAGGGGGUGGUUCUGCUGUGGACUUCAUCUCCCUCUAUUUUCUUCUGCUUCUCAUGGCUUCCCAGGGCAGGCGGACUGUCUACCCUACUCCAACAAGGGAAUGAUUCUAGGAAGUGGAAUUUGGUGUGUGUGGGGGGCAGUAAUGAGUGAGAUUAGUGCCCAGAGAGCUCCCUCCACCCCCUCUGCCACUCCAGGACACAAUUAGGAGACACCACCUAGGAACCAAGAGGGAGACCCUCAGCAGCCACGCAGGCCGCCGAUGCUUUGCUCUUGGGACUUCCCAGCCUCCCAGAGCUGUAAGCAAUAAAGUUCUAAGCUGGUUAUGGGCACCUCGUCUAUGGAUUUUCCCAAAGCAAUCCAAAGGGACCAGGCAAGGUGUGCCGUACGUGUUUUCCUGCGUUGUGGCCCCUGAACGACAGCAGCCAUAUCUCCUGAUGUCAGAGCCAUGGCCGGAUCCGCCCAAGGCACUUGAGGCCACGCACUGGUGAGCAGCCUGGGGGCAGGAUGGCCUUGGUCCUCCUCAGGGAAUCCUUGUGGUUCCUCUGGGCCUUGUGGCUCUGGGGGGGAGGGUGGAGAAGAAGAGAGGCUUCUGGGUUUUUCUUACAAAGGUUGCCAAAGGAAGGCUUUGAACCACAUUGCUGUCCUGGUUAAUGACCCAGAGAGGAAGUAAAAACCACAGUGUCUCUUCCUUUAGUAGGAAAGGAGGGAGGAAGAGGAGAGGGAGCAUUGCUAAGGUGUGGACCCAUCCCGGCCUCUUGCACCCAGAAUGAGGUUUCCACACUGGUGCUCGUGUCGGGACGUCACUGCUUUCUGUGGCUGAGUGAUACUCAGGAGAGCGGUUUUGCACAGGUGGCUGGGCCUGCCCUGGUUACCUUCUGGGUUACCUUGGGGUGCCCGCAGGUCCAGGGUGAGGGGAGACCCAGUCAAGCGUGUCUUGGGGCCAUGUGGCCUGAGGGCCGUGAGUGGACGCUCCAGUGGGAGUGGUGGGGCCACCUCUUCACCUGGGCUUUGGGGAGAGCCCCAGGGCCAUGGGAAGCUGGGACCCAAGUGGUGGCUAAGACUUUGUGGGGUGGUUGAGCCGGUUUCCUUUUGUAGCCUGCAGCCGGGUGACUCCCACCCCAAGGCCCAACCUGCAGAACCUGCCCAUCCAGGGGCCUGCAGGGCUGUGGUCUUCCAGAGCCCUUUAAAAAUGUUUUGAUCGACACCUGAUACUUGGACCUUGUCUAUGAGGUGUAUAAUGUGUUGUUCUGAUUCACGCUGGGUAAUGACCGGAGAAGGGUCAUUAGCAUGUCCAUUACCUUAAACUUUUCUUAUUAAAGAUUUAUUUGUGUAUCUGAAAGAGAGAGAGAGAGAGAGAGAGAGAGAGAGAGAGAGAGGAUCUAUCUUCCAUCUGCUGGUUCAUUCCCCAGCUGGACGCAAUGACCAGGGUUGGGCAAAGCGGAAGCCCAGAGGCAGGAGCUUCAUCCAGGUCUCCCACAUGGGUGUCAGGAACCCAUGCACUUAGGUCAUCUGCUGCUGCUUUUCCCCAGGCCAUUAGCAGGCAGCUGGAUUGGAAGUGGAGCAGCCAGGACAAGAACCAGUGCCCAUAUGGGAUGCUGGCAUCACAGGCAGCAGCUUUAUCUGCUAUGCCACAACACUGGUCCUUACCUUAAGCUUCUGUUAUUUCUUUAUGGUGAGCAUAUUCAAACCCUAGCCCCUUAAAGGAAAUUUUUUUAUAUAUUUACUUAUUGAGAGACAGAGCUUCUAUCUGCUGGUUCACUCCCCAAACGCCUGGGUCAACCCAGUGCUGGGAUCCAGGAACUCAGUCUAGGCCUCCCACUUGGGGGACAGGGAUUCAAAUACUUAAGCCAUCACCUGUUGCCCCCUAGGGUCUGCAUUAGAACUGGACUCAGGCACUCCGACCUGAGAUGCAAGCAUGAGAGAUGUUCUAACUGCUAUGCCAAAUGCCCGCCCCGGGGGUCUUCUGUGAGUGGACUCAUAGUCUUGGUCCGUUUGUGCCUUGCUUAUUCUCUGAGUAUAGUAGUCUCAGAGUUUUCUUGCCUUGCCAGAGUCAGUGAGCCCCAACAAGGCUGAGCUGUGUCUUGCAAACAUGGCUUCUUCACCGGGGUCCAGUGGAGGGGGCCGGUGGGGCCCCUGCGGCUGCAGGUUUCAGAGUUUUUAGGCGAAGGGGUCAGGGCGUCUCCAGGCUCAGACAUCUCCCGUGGUUGAGUGGAUAGGAUCAUCCUGGACCUGAGCUCCUUCCCAGUUUCACGAGCGGAUCCACAUGCACCAUUGGUGAGAGCCCGGGAGGUGGAGGGUGGGCCUGCCGACGCCCAUGUCCACUUCCCUGUCCGCUCUGAGUCGCACUGGACUCACAGCGGUCAUUUGGCGGGCUGGAUGAGCUUGUGCCGUGACCUUGUACGUCCCCCUCACUGGGGAGCGCGGCAGAUUCACCCUGUGGGCGUGUGCAGCCGGGCUCUGUGUGUGCCCAGAUCCUCGGCCUCGGAGUUGAAGACCCUGACUCAUCCGUGAACGUCAGCUUCCGAGAGUGGCCCACCCCACCCCCCACUUAAGACACGGGUGGGAAAUACCUCUGUCUGUGCUUGGAGCUGUGGCCCCUAUACCUGUACUUGACAGGUGUCUUUGGCUUAAAAUCCCCUUCAUGCCUCCAGGAGAGUGGGAGGGCGAGGCUGGUGAGCCCAGCUGCUCCCCACCUGCGUCCUAAGUUGCCUCAGGAUCUCUCCUUUGUCACCUUCUUUGCAGUUUGUUCAAAACAGUGAUGGAUUGAUUGCAUAUUACACAGAAUUUACCAUCUUAACCAUUUGUAAGUGGCCAAUUCAGUGGUGUUAAGUAUUCAGUGCUUUCUUUUUUUAAAAGAUUUAUUUAUUUAUUUAUUUAAAAGAUAGAGGCAGAGUUAGAGAGCGAGCGAGCGAGAGCUCCCAUCCCUGGUUCACUCUGCGAAUACCUGCAGCAGCUGGGAACUCCAUCUGGGCCUCUUGUGUGGCUGGCAGGGGCCUCAGUACCCCCUGGGUGCACUAGCCAGAAGCUAGAUGGGAAGCUGUGUAGCUAGGACACGAACCAGAUACUCCAGUAUGGGAUGCAGGUAUCCCAAGCAGCAGCUUAACCACUGCACAACACCCACCUCUCUGUGUGUGUGUGUGUGUAUAUGUGUGUGUUUAAAGUUUAUUUUAUUUAUUUGAAAGACAGAGUUAGAGGGAGAAGGGGGAGAGAGAGAGAGAGAUCUUUCAUCCACUGUUCACUCCCUAAAUGGCCACAAUGGCCAGAGCUGUGCCAGUCUGAAGCCAGGAGCCAGGAGUUUCUUCUGGGUCUUCCACAUGGGUGCUGGGGCCCGAGCACCUGGGCCAUCUUCUGCUGCUUUCCCAGGCGCAUUAGCAGGGAGCUGCAUCCCAAGUGGAACAGCCGGAACUUGAACCAGUACCCACAUGGGAUGCCGGCAGUGCAGGCUUAACUCAAGACACCACAGUGCCCGCCCCUCCUCUGUGUGUUUUAAGAGACAGAGUUGAUGGAAGAGCAAUGAUCUGUUCUUCAGGGGGUGUUUCCUCCUGAUGCACUGGGAGAGAAGAGGUGGUUCAGACUUCAGCUUUAACUAGGGGCCGAGGCACUUGGGGACCAGGUGGGACCAGGGCCAAGCAGGUGCCUCAUGUAACCAUGCUGUAGUGUGGAUCGGAGGCCCUGGGAGAGAUAGGUGCCAUGCUGUGGGGUGUAGGAGGGAAGUCUCCUGUCUGUCCUGUUUCCGGGGGGCAGAGGGUGUGCAGGGGAGGGUGUUCCAGGCAGAGGGACCAGGAUGGACAAGAGCUCACAGGCUGGGAGGCGUUCACCCUGCUCAGGAGACAGCAGGAGCGUUUGGUUGGAGGAUUGGUAUGAAAUGUGGGUUCAGGGGCAGUGAGGACUGGGUAGGAGGGUUUGGGUCAUACCACGUGGGACUCAGAAGUCAGGCUGAGUGAGGUGUACUUUUAAUGGCAAUAGGGAGCCACUGAAGGUUGUUGAGUGACAGAGGGGGUGGUGUCGCAGCUUUUGCCUUGGGAAGGUGAAUCUGGCAGUUGCGUGUGAGGUGGUCCAAGGGGAGUCAGGGGUCCGAGGAGGAGGAUGGCUGGAGAGAGAGGACCAGGAGGAUGAGCCGUCUGUGAGGAGGGGGUGAGGCUGGGCCUGGGCAUGGCUCGGCUGUGCUGCAGGGUCCCAGAGUGGGUUUUGGGGAAAGAGGGCUGAAGGCAAAGGGCAGGAAGGUGAGGCCCUCAGCAAGCCAGGUGCCCUGCAGGGCCACACGAGAGGGAGACGGAGCUGGCGGUGAGCUGGGAGUUGAUGCCGCACAAGGGAAGUGAGCACCCAGAGGUCACGGAGGAAGGGGCCGAGGCCGGCCGCGAGUGGGUGAAGAAGACAUGGGGGCUGCACCUGUGGACUGUUGUGGCCAGGAUUUGAGCAGCUGGCAGGAGAGGAGGAUGUGUGUGUGGUCAGCGGCUUAGGACUGGGGCCUGAGUGUUCCCAUGUGUCCACUGGUGGGGCCUCUGCUGUUCCAGGGGGCAGGGCUGCAGUGAGGGGCCACGUGCCUGUCGACACACCAAGGAGGUGACCAGUGCGACAGAGUCCCUCGAAGACAGGGAGGUGGUCAAGUGAGGGCUGGGGGCAGCUGAUUGAGGGGUCCUGUGGGGGAGGCGGCAGACCCUGGGGAGAGUGGCUGGGUUACCGCUGGACAGUGCUUGGAGCGGUGUGGCUCUUCAGGGGUCUGGUGCGGGAGCUGUCAGUGAGGUCGGAAAGCAGGUGUGGGAGUGGGGGUGGGACUGCCCUGUGGCUGGCAUGGCCAAGGCCAAGGCUACUGCGGCCAAGGGGGUUGAGAAGGUGGUUGUGGGCAGAUGGCCUCUAGCGUGGAGCAGAACGUGGUGCUGAGCUCUGCGCUGGGUGCUGUGGUAUUAUAGUGAGGGUCUGGGCUCAGGGCUACAUCCUGUGUUGAGUGGUAUCUCAUCCUGGAGCCGUAGCAUGGGCCCGCCCUCAUCUCCAAGCAGCUGGCCAGGGACUGUUGGCCCUGACGGAUAAAGGAUAUGAUGGACGUUAAGUGUGGUUCCCUCUCCCAUGGCUUACUCCGUGGCCAGAUGGUGGCAGCGACCGUGAUAGGCUCCUCUCUGUGGAGGAGCCAGCCGAAAGCAGUGCCUUGGUGACCUGGUUCCCCACACUAUGUGCCUCUGGCUUCCUGGCUCUUUAUAUUUUGUUUUGUGGUGUUUUUGUUUGUUUGUUUUUUAAUUUGAGAAACACAGGGAAACAGAGCUCUCCUUCUACUGGUUCACUCCCCUCAAAAGGCUGGGACUGGAUCGGGGCAAAGCAGAGAGGCGAGAACACAAUUCAGGGCUCCCAUGUGGGUAUCAGCAACUUAAGUACCCAAGCCGUCACUGCAGCCUCCCAGGAUCCACGUGAGCAGGAAGUGUGGAGCCUGGAGCCAGUCUCAAACCCAGGCGCUCUGACGUGGGUCUCAGGUGCCUUAAAUGCUACGCCAUAGGCCUGGCCUCUUCCCCAGCCCUGUGGCUGUUUGUUUGUUUAUCCUGCUACGUCUGCAGUCUCAGGUUCCAGAGACUCCGGCUAGGAACUUCCGCAAGGUUCAUGGGUUGCGACUUGGCCUGUCUGGGAGUGCUGCUUUGUUCUGGCUACUCCGGAAGCCCCGUGUCUGCUGCCGUGGGCUGGGCAGCUGAGCCCCCAAGGAAGCCAGCAAGGGGCCUGCUCCCAUCUUCUGGAGGUGGAAACCUUUCUAGUUGGCUUUUGGGGUGCGUGGGUGCUGGAACUGGCGCGCCCUGCCCAUUUGCCUGCAUGAGGGCAGAGGGGAAACAGAGAAUGGAUUUUCCUUUUCUUUUUCCUCCGUGAGCUCCUUCAAGCGAUGUGAAUUAGCGGCGUUGCUCCCGGGGGAGCAAGAGUCACUUGGCCUCUGUUGCAUUUUAAGUUCCGGCAGGACAGGGCGUGGCUGUAAACAGGGCCGUGGACAUCAAAGGCUGAAGCAGGGCUUCCUCAUGGGGAGUGUCCCAGACACCCAUGCCGGCCCCACACUCGGGCUCCCUCCCGGCGUGUGGCCCCGAGCAGGUGGCUCGGGACUUGUGUCCCGUCCUUUCCUGAGCCCCUUUCAGUUUGUAGCUGCCAGGGGGCCUUUUAUUUAUUUCUCUGUUUAUGUUCAUUUUAUUUGAAAGGGAUGCUCUGCUGAGAGAUUUCUCUUGGCUCACGUUCCAAAUGCCUGCAACAAGGCAGGCUGAAGUCGGAAGCCUGGAGCUCCAUCCGGGUCUGCCACAUGGAUGGCAGGGACUCAGGUGCUUCAGCCGUCACGUGCUGCCUCCCCGGAAGCUGAUGGGGAAGUGGGGUAGCCAGCACUUGAACCAGGCAUCCCAUGUUGCGACCUGAGCUGCUGUGACAGAUGAGGCAGAGAGAGAGAGAGAGAGAGAGAGAGAGAGAGAGAGAGGUCUUCCAUCUGAUGAUUCACUCCUCAGUUGGCUGCAAUGGCUGGAGCUGGGCCAAUCAGAACCCAGGAGCCAGGAGCUUCUUCCUGGUCUCCCGUGUGGGUGCAGGGGCCCAGGCACUUAGGCCAUCUUCUACUGCUUUCCCAGGCCACAGCAGAGAGAUGGAUAGAAAACAGAGCAGUGGGGUCUCGAACUUGCACCCCUAUGGGAUGCCGGCUGCAGAUUUACCCCUUACGCCACGACUCCAGCCCCUCUGCUUUGCUUUCUUAAUGUCUGAGUUUCUGGGCAUGGGGUCCGCAGGAUCCACACUGCUCAGAGUCUCGCGAGGCUGCAGUCAGGAUAUCAGCUGGGGCUGUGUUCCAUCUGAGUGUGUGGUCCUCUCCCAGGCUCCUUCAGGUUGCUGGCAGAGUCCCAGUUCCCGGGGGUUGUAGGACUAAGGUCCCCAUUGUCUUGCUGGCUGUCAGCUGCCCCCCUCCCACCUUCCGGUUCUGGAGUCAGGCCCUCUGCAUAGGCAGUUGCACAGGGCUGUUGGCAUUUCUCCUCCCAGGAAGGGGUCUUUGAAAGGCUCCAUGGGUGAUGGUGCUCCGUGGCCAGGGUUCCAACCCCUCAGCUUCUGGAAUCUGCAGACACUGGCCAUGACUUUGAGGGGGGCUGGCAAAGAGGAGCAAGUGGAUUUCUUUGGGGUCACAUCUGGGAGGCCAGAGUGUCAUUAAUGGCUCAAAGCUUCCGGGAGACAGGUUUCUGCUCAGUGUUAAAGAGAAUUUAAUUUUCUUUCUUCCUGCCUUCAUACUUAGUCAUGUCAAAUUAUUUUACAGAGCUGAGAUCUUGCUGGGGAGUUGGGUGUCUUGCCUUUGUCGAUUAAUGUGAGCAUUUUCUUGUGCUGGUAAAUGUUUUGUAAACAUUUAUUUAUUUUAGAUUUUUUUUUAUUUGAUAGGCAGAGUUAGGGGGAGAGAGAGAGAGCUAUCUUCCACCCCCUGGUUCACUCCCCAGUUGGCCACAAUGGCUGGGGCUGGGCCAGGCUGGAGCCAGGAGCUUCAUUCGGGUUUCCCACUUGGGUAGCAGGGACCCAUGCACUUGUGCCAUCUUUUGCUACUUUCUGACAUGCAUUAGCAAAGGAGCUGGGUCAGAAGUGGAGCACUCUGGACUUGAACCCAGAGCCCAUAUGGGAUGCAAGUGGUGGCUUAACCAACUAUGCCACAAUGCCAGCCCCUGUAAACAUUGUUUUUAAAGGACCACGUUAUUGCUCUAUGGGGCCAGUGCUCUGGCAUAGCGAGUGAAGCCGCUGCCUGCAGUGCUGGCAUCCUAUAUGGGCGCUGGUUCGGGUCCCGGCUGCUCCACUUCUGAUCCAGUUUUCUGCUGUGGCCUGGGAAAGCAGUAGAAGAUGGCCCAAGUCCUUGGGCCCCUGCACCCACGUAGGAGACCCGGAGGAAGUUCCUGGCUUCUAGCUUCGGAUCAGCACAGCUCUGGCCGUUGUAGCCAACUGGAGAGUGAACCAGUGGGUGGAAGACCUCUCUGUCUCUCUCUGCCUCUCCUCUCUCUGUGUAAUUCUUGACUUUCAAAUAAAUAAUAAAUCUUAAAAAAAAAAAAAAAGACUGCAUUAUUUCUUUGUAACAGAGCUAUGGUUUCAAGAGUUUUGUUGGACAUUCAGAGCCCUUGCUGUAUGUUGUUGGAUAUUACAAUGAUUCAGUCAGCAUCUUUUUUUGGUUAACAGCUUCCUCCAGUUCUAACUCACAUAGCAUACAAUUUGCCUGUUUAAAGUGUGUAAUCCAGCAGUUCCUGGUUUAUUACAUUAUGAUAUUUUUUAGGAUUUAUUUAUUUAUUUGAAAGUCAGAGCUACACAGAGAAGGAGGCAGAGAGAGAGAGAGAGAGAGAGAGAGAGAGAGAGAGGUCCUCCAUCCACUGGUUCACUCCCCAGUUGGCUACAACAGCUGGAGCUGUGCCAAUCCACAGGCAGGAGCCAGGAGCCUCCUCCAGGUCUCCCGUGCAGGUGCAGGGGCCCAAGGACCUGGGCCAUCCUCCACUGCCUUCCCAGGCCGCAGCUGAGAGCUGGCGCUCAUAAGGGAUGCCGGCAUCCCGAGUGGCAGCUUUACCUCUGCUGCACUACGAUGCCAGCCCCUCCUGAAUUAUUAAGUGUGAUAAAAUAUACAUGACAAACAGUUUCCCAUUGUGGCCAUUUUCUAGUCUACAUCCUGGGUAUCAAUAAGCCCAUCCCAUUGGUGGGCAGCCACCCUCUCCCUUUUCCAGAACUUUCCAGCGUUGUAGCUGAUGGCUUAACACACUGCACCACGACACCAACUCUGUCUCAACCGUUUUUAAGUGAACAGUUCAGGCAGUGAGCAUCUUCCCGUACGGGCUUCUGUUCAGAUUUCUGAUUGUGCCCAGACAGGGCUGGCAUCUCUCAGUUUGUUUCCUGAGUCACUGCUGCCCAGGGCCCAUCCAGAGGUGCUGCUUGAGUUUAUCCUUGAUUUCCAGAUUAAUUUUCCCUUACUGUGAUGUCUCCCUUGCCUUUGUUUUUUUUUUUUUUCUUGCAGGAUUUUAAUUUUAUUUUAAGAUUUUUGGCCGGCGCCGCGGCUCGAUAGGCUAAUCCUCCGCCUUGCAGCGCCGGCACACCAGGUUCUAGUCCCGGUCGGGGCGCCGGAUUCUGUCCCGGUUGCCCCUCUUCCAGGCCAGCUCUCUGCUGUGGCCAGGGAGUGCAGUGGAGGAUGGCCCAGGUACUUGGGCCCUGCACCCCAUGGGGGACCAGGAAAAGCACCUGGCUCCUGGCUCCUGCCAUCGGAUCAGCACGGUGCGCCAGCCACAGCGCACCGGCCGCGGCAGCCAUUGGAGGGUGAACCAACGGUAAAGGAAGACCUUUCUCUCUGUCUCUCUCUCUCUCUCUCUCACUGUCCACUCUGCCUGUCAAAAAAAAAAAAAAUAAAAUAAAUAAAAUUAAAAAAAAUAUUUUUUAUUUGAAAGGCACAGUUAGAGAGAAACAGAUACAGAGACAGAGAGAGAUUGUCUGUCCUCUGGUUCACUCCCCAAAUGCCCGCAACAGCCAGCCAGGGCUAGACAGGCUGAAAGCAGCCGCCUGGAGCUUCGUCCGGGUCUCCCACGUGGGCGGCAGGGGCCCCAGUACUUGGGCCAUCCUCUGCUGCUUUCUUUCCGAGGCGCAUGGCCAGGAAGCUGGAUCAGAAGAGGAACAGUGGGAUCUCGCAGCCGUGCUCUUUUGGGAUGCUGGCAUCGCAGGCAGCUGCCUAACCUGCUGUGCCCCAGCACUGGCACUGCAGGAUUUUAUUAAAACACUUCUGUCCGGUGACAAGAAGGCCAAGUGGAUGGGGCCUCACCUUCCAGAAUUUCAAAGUCAUGGUAUGGGGUUUUCAGCCAACGAAACAGAAUUUGAGGUUAAGGUAUCUUUCGGUCAGGGCCGUCUGUCCUUGGCUGGGCCCCACCUGAUUUCCUUGGUGACCUACAAAAACAGCCAGUCCUGGAUUGGGAACCUCCCUAGGCUGAGGUCUCGCUGUGGCCAGUGGCUAGGGGACACUUAGUUCUUUAUCAGCUCCGUGGCCUUUGAGAGUGAAAGAACCCCAUGAUCCUCUUGUUUAUCGGGAAACCCGUCAGUUUCUUGCUGCCCUGGACGGCUUGAAACUGGAUCUGAAAAAGCCUCUUGGUUUACUUGCUGUGUGUGCAUCCUGCCCUUGGGGUCAGGUCUGCUCAGUAGGGUUGUCCAGGGAGUCCUGGCUCAUGGAGUUCCAGCUGGAUUUUCCCUAAAGCUCCAAGGGAGCAGAAGGCCAGGGUGGAGAAGGGCUUUCCCAGAGGGAGAGGGGCUGGCGUGGGGCUCUGUGGCUGCAGGUGGCUGGCAGAGGUGGACCAGGGCGCCGGUCAGCCCAGACGCCGCCCCGUGCAUGUUGACUUCAAGCAGGGAUGGACUGUCGGUCGGGUGUCGGAGCGUAGCCAGGGGAGAGCAGCCCGGAAUCCCGGGCGUGGAUGGCGGGGAGAGGAGAAGGAAGGGCGCAGGUUUGCAGCCUGGACCAGCCCCGCCUGCAGUGGGAGUCACACUUUCUUGUCUUUGGGAGUGCCUUAAAGAGGCGGGACUACUGCUUCUCGGGCUCAGCAGUACUGGCUGUCACUCAAACUCCUCGGGCCUCUGGGUUCCUGUCUGUCGGUGAGGAAGCUGAGCGUCUGCGUCUUGGAGCUGCCUUUAAAUUAUUUGUGAUCCCGACUAGAAGUGAGGAGUCCUGUGGCUCUGAGUUCCCAGCAGGUUACUUGGAGCCCUCCCCCCCCCCCCCCCCGCAGGUGCCCCAGAGCUUCCUGUUGUGGUGCAGGUCUGCAGAGCCCAAGGUGGGGGAGGGGCAGCUCGUGCCUAUUGCCUGAUCGGCCACCGUCUUCUCAAACUGCCCAGCAGCCAGUCUGAGGGCUAGGACGGGUGUCUGCAGCCGAGUGUGGGCAGCAGCAGGAGGCCCAGUCAGCAGCAUGGGAGGGGGUGGAGGCCCCUUGUGGGUGUCUGCCAGGGUGCAGGUGAUGGCGUCCAAGCAGGUGGCUGGCAGUGGGAGGCCUGGUAGUGCCAGCUGGGGCCUUGCCAGUCACAGGACAGCCCUGCGUGGCUGGGAUGCUGUGCUGAGGCCAGCACUGAGAUGAGCAGGGCUCGGCUGCCCGGCUGCCCGGUGUUUCCAUGCCUUGGGUGCUCUGAGGCCGCUGUUUACUGCCGUCACAGAUGAUGACCCAGCCCCUCCGACAGCCUGCUGGCCUCAGCACCGGCCCCACCUGGGAUCAGAAUCCAGGCCUCGCUUCCUGCAGAGGAAGCUGCCCGUCUGGUCCCCGUUACGCUUCUCUGAGUGUUCUCAGUGCCAGCUGGAGAGCCGGCGAGGCCUUGGGAGGGCCUGGUCAGUCAGGAGGAGGACAGGAAGGGGGCAGGCUGAAUGCCGGUGCUCUGUGGGGUGCGCGUGCCUCCAUGGAAGCCCGUCCUUCCCUCCAGAAUGUUCUGUGGGACAGGCUUGGCUUGAGGUGCACUUGACCUCCCGGAACCCCUCUGUCUGAAUUCGCCUGUGUUCCUUCUUCUGACAGUCCUGUGGGGGGGGGGGGGGGGGGGUGGAGAGGAGAGGAGAGGGAGGGCCCAGCCUUUCCUGGAAUGUUGCACUUGAAUGUGGCUCUCUGCUGCUGAUGGGCCCCAUCUCCUCCACUCCCUGCAGGGAGCAUUGUGGCUGCAGCUCUCUUAGGAAGCGUUAAGAAGCCCCCACGAUAGAAGCUGGAUUUGAAUGGGGGUUGGGGAGGUUUUAUUUGAGUCUCUGCUCUUGGCUGUACAGUGUCGGGAUUGGCCGCAUUUUCUUAAAGGGCCAGUCAGUAGCUAAUUUCGUCUUGGUGGCCAAGAGGCAGGGUCCAGGCUGCUGUGUGGGAACAGUUGUCCCUCGGUAUCCAUGGCCGACUGGUUCAAGGACCCUCCUUGGGUAGUGCUGACGUAGUAUUUGCAUGUAAGUAUACACAUCCUCCCGUAUGCUUCAGGUCAUCUGUAGGUUACUUAUAAGACCUAAAGCAGUGUCAGUGCUAUGUAAAUGCCCAUCAUACUGUGUGGUUUAGGGAAUAAUGGGAAGAAAAAAAAGCCCAUACGUGUCCAGUAGGGAUCUCGAGUAUUCUCCAUCUGUGGUUGUUCCCUCUGUGGACGUGGAGCCCACGGUCCCACGAGAGCAGGUGGCAGUGGGCUGGAGCUUGCCGACCCGUGUCCCGCAGCGAGCCGCCUCCUGAGUGAUUGUGCAAGAGGGGACAGUGCCGUGAGUGGGUGUCCCCAUCUGUCUGGGAGCCUGACAGGCUUCUCCCUGGAACCUGUGGGGCAGGUGGGGUCGGUCUUCCUUGUCCCCGGGAGGACUCUUUCCUCAAGCAAGUGGCUGGAGGUGGAGAAGCCGGGGUGGGGGUGGCACCUGCUCUCCCACUCCUCCUCCUCCUCCCCCUUUUCUCCUGCUGCAUCACGGUGAUGAAUAUUCAGGCCCUGGAACAAGGCUGGCCACUGGUUAAUCUUGGAAGCACGGGUGGCCGUUUGGCCUGGCGGUUUGAGUGCUGGUUAAGAUGCCUGUGUCUCAUAUUGCAGUGCCCCAGCGUGAUCCCUGGCUGCAGCUCCUGACUCCAGGUUCCCACCAGUGCAGACCGGAGGCAGCAGUAACGGCUCAAGUCUUUGGCUGUGAUGCCAGGGUCCACAGCACGCAUACACACACUUAGGACUGUGGGAAAGCAUGGUUGGGGCUUUUUGUUUGUUUUAUUUAAUUGUGUUAAAAUAUACUUAGCAUAAAACUUAACCAUCUUGACCAUUAUUUUAUUAAAAAAAAAGACUUAUUUAUUUAUUUGAAAGUCAGAGUUACACAAGAGAGAAGGAGAGGCAGAGAGAGAGAGAGAGGUAUUUCAUCCGCUGUUUCACUCCCCAGAUGGCCUCAAUGGUCAGAGCUGUGCCGAUACGAAGCCAGGAGCUUCCUCCGGGUAUCCCAUGUGGGUGCAGGUGCCCAAGGACUUGGGCCAUCUUCCACUGUUUCUCCAGGCCAUAGCAGGGAGCUGGAUCGUAAGUGGAGCAGCUGGGACACAAACUGGCGCCUAUAUGGGACGCCAGCGCUGCAGAUGGCGGCUUUACCCACUGUGCCGCAGCACCGGCUCCUUGACCAUUUUUAAAUACACAGCUCAGUGUGGAGACGUUCUUGUGGUGCACAGUCGUCUCUGCCGUCUGUGUCCAGAGCUCUUCCAUCUCGCAGAGCUGAAACUCUGGACCCGUUUGACGCUGACUCCCCAUUCCCCUGCCCCUCAGCCCCUGGAAACCACCUUCGUGCAGAGCCUUAAACUGGGGACACCCACACCACGUAUCCAGGUGCCAGUUCAAGUUCUGGCCACUUCGCUUCUGAUCCAGCUCCCUAAUCACAGUACCCGAUGGUCAUCCAUGCCCCAGGAGCACCCAUCCCCGUGGGCCCCGGGUGGCCACUGACAUGCUUUCUCUCCCAUGGGUCUGUCUUUUCCUGGACAUUACAUAAAUGGAAGCGUCCGGCUCGUAGCCUUUUGGAUCCUUCUUCCUUCACAUAGAUCACGCACUUAAUGUUCCAAGCUGUUGGGCGUACCGCUCGCUCGUUCUUCUUCAUAGUAACCAGGGAGUCCUGUGUCCCAGGGAUGGGUCAGUGCUGUCCUCUCCCUGACUGCUCCGUUCUGACCUCUGUCUGGAGCCAUGACUUGACAUUGCUGUGUAGUUCACCCAUUUGAAGUGCACCGCUUAGCGGCUUCUAGCGUGGUCACAGUUGUGCGACUAUCACCGAUCUCCGAUUCUAGAACAUUGUCAUCACCCCCAAAAGAAAAUCCACGCUCACUCGUGGUCUCUCCCCAUUCGCUUCUCCUCCUCACUGCUGGCACUCACCAGUGUGCUUUUUUUCCAUCAUGCACGUGGCGUCCUUUGGCCCCUGCCUUCCAGUGGCCCCGGUCCUCAGUUCCCCCUUGAGCCUGGGCCCAAGUUGUCCCUGGAACCACUGUGGCGUCUGGUUUUUGCCCAGGAGCCCAGGGCCGCAGCAGACAGCACUCCAGCUUUCCAGAAACCUGUUAUAGUUGUUGCUGUGUGGAUGCAGAAAACCUAGAGGCCCUGGACUUCGCCCCCGCUGGGCUCUGGGAGGCCUGGGCUGGCCUCUGUUUCAGCCUAUCCAGGGGAGAGAAUGCCGGCAGCUUCUAGAAUGGCACAGCCGGCCAGACCUCCAUGCGUGUGCCCGCUGUGAGCAUUGCUCCGUGUAUCUCAGCAUGCGUGACCUCCGUGGACAGCCCGCUCUUGUACUGGCAGAGAGGGUGCCUAUGACUGGCACUGGGCUUGUUCGCCCCGUUGGAGAGGGAAAUAGAUGCACCUGCUCUCUGGCCAAGAGCUAUGGCAGCUGGAAGCUGCUCGCCCUGUUCCCAGUAUUACCCGGGCCAGGGGAUGAAUUAUUUGGUCAUAAAUCAAUGUCUUGUCUGCAGAGGACUUGGAGACGCUAGGGCCCAGCUGGCUUUUCUCUCCGCCGCUGGGACACUGCCGAUCUCACAGCAGGGCGAGGACAGGCAGUGCCACGAACGCUGUCUGAUUUGGGCAGCUUUGGGGCUUCCCCCACAGCAUGCCGUCCUGGGGAGGGCCCACCAGAACCUUCCUUAUCUGGUUCUGUCCUCCUGGCUGUCCCCUGGCACUGUCUCCGAGAGGACGCAGCUGACCCCUCUGCUUUGCCGAGCAGCCUGCGUCCUCCUGUGGACACUCGCAGUCCCGGACACGGCCAUCAGCGCUGGGAACGUCAGGGUUCAGCCUGCCAGAGUGGGUGCUGGCCAAGCAGUGCUGACUCAUGUUCCUAAGCCGGGGGGACCUGAGUGUAGAGGAGGCGGAGGCUGGGCCGAGAGGCAGAGAGCUCCCUCCUUGUGGGACGUUUGGGCCCAGGUCCCUCCUAGGAAGGCAGAGCCGGGCCCCAGCCUGCACUCCGCACAUUGUAUUCCUCCCACGACUCCCCCCAGGACGAGGUCCGCCUAUCAGUGGAUGCACCAGGAUGAGGGAAGGCAGCACUUCCAGUUACAGCCCCACGGUGAAUGAGGUGGAGACUCCGGGGAAAAUGCGUGCCUGAGGGUGGGUGGGAUGACCAAGCGGUCCCCAGUCAGGGAUGUGCCCUGCAGAUCACUGCGCAUGGCCGCUGGUGCACAGAGAGCGCGCAGUAGCACCGUUAUCCCCAGUGCUGUUAUCUUAGGCGCUGUUACGACAGACGGUGGGAGAGGAUGCUGACCGCUGCAUCGGCUGGCUGCGUGUUUGGGUUUACUUUUGUAUUUUUUUGUUUUGAAGAAGCCACAGUGGAAGAAGAGAAGCUGCCUUUUUCCAUCUGAAUUGGAAAAGUCCACGGUGCCCAUUUCCAAAAACAGGGACUUUGUUUUUGAACACUUUUUUUGUUCAUUUGCUUCAAGAUUUAUGUUUGUUUCUUUGAAAGAGAUACAGAGAGAGUGACAGAAAGAGAGGUCUUCCAUCUGCUGGUUUACUCCCUAAAUGGCUGCGAUGGCUGGGGCUGGGCCAGGCUGAAGCCAGGAGCCAGGAACUCUAUGUGGGUUUCGCCUGUGCAUGGCAGAGGCCCAAGCUCUUGGGCCAUCUUCUGCUUUGCCAGGCACAUUAGAAGAGAGCUGGAUUGGAAGUGGAACGGCUGGGACUUGAACCAGUGCUCUUGAGAUGAGACGCUGGUGUCACAAGCAGAGGCUUAACCUGCAGCACCCACCCCACGCCUUCACUUUUCAGUAAACUUUUACCGACAGAGACACUAAGUGCAUUGACAGUGUCCUGUUACUGUCGCCACCACUGUAUCCAUCAGGUUUGCUUGGGUACAACACGAAAGACCUGAGACAUGUUACAGUACGGAGAAGAGAGAGGUUUGUUAUUUAGCGCGCGGUGUUGGAGGUCGGAGAUCGUUGGUGUGUUGUCUGUCGAGGGCAACAGGUGGAAGUGGUGAGGGAGUGGGGAGGAGGCUGAGCCCCAUCAGGCCUUGCAGCCGGCCCUCCCCUGAAAGCCACCUUCCAGGUCACACACGCAGUGCCCUGGGGACCUCUCCUGGGGGGCCACCUGCCGCACACCCCAUCUGGACGAAGCUUCCACCAUUUCGGCUCCUUAAACUUACAGCUUAGGAAGAGGUUUAAAAGCCUACACAGGUCCGGGAGCCACAGCAGCCACCAUCCGGCUCCAGAACAUUUGUCAUCUUCCCAAACUCCGGUUCGUUAAACAGUACUCCCCACUUCCUCCUCCCCCAGGCUCUGUUUGCUUUCUGUCUCUGUGGAUCUGACAGCUCCAGGCCCUUCAAGCCCUGCCCUUUUGUGUCUUGCCAAGCAAUGGAGCACAGGUUUGAAUUCCCUUCCGUUUGCCAGGCUUUUUGAGGUGGACACCUGAGGCCCGUUUGCACCUUUGGCUACCGUGCAGAGAGCACGGCUGUGAGCAGGGCUGGGGGUGUUUUUACUCCUGAGCCCGGGCAAACAGGCCCCUCCUGCAUGAGUGCCCACAGGCAUCGCUUAGGGAACCACGCACUUAAUAGCCACGGUGAGCACAGCUCUCUGGAAUGUAGCAGGUCACGGAUACAGAAGGCGGGAGUUCUUGGAAAGGUGGGGUUCUGGCUGCAAGCUCCACCCCUGUUUUCUGGCACCUUCUGUGCCAGGGAAACUUGAGUCAGCCUUUCCUGGGUAGUGCAGGCCUCAGCCCUGGUUCAGGAGAGCUGGGGGAGGGGUUCUGUGUGACUCCCGUCUGCUGAUAGGGUGGCUACAAACCUGGGGUCCCUGGGCAAGUCAUUGAUGAAUCCAGAGUAGAGGAUGGAGGAUGGGCACUGCACUUGUUCAUUAGACUUUUUAAUUUAAGAUUUAUUGGGGCUGGCACUGUGGCACCGGCAUCCCAUAUGGGCGCCAGUUCUAAUCCUGGCUGCUCCUCUUCCAGUCCAGCUCUCUGCUAUGGCCUGAGAAAGCAGUGGAACAUGGCCAAGGUCCUUGGGCCCCUGCACCCGCAUGGGAGACUGGGAAGAAGCUCCUGGCUCCUGGCUUUGGAUUGGCGCAGCUCCAGUCGUUGUGGCCAUUUGGGGAGUGAACCAAUGGAUGGAAGACCUUUCUCUCUGUCUCCCCUUCUCACUGUUUGUAACUCCACCUCUCAAAUAAAUAAAUAAAAUAUUUAAAAAAAAAUUUAAGAUUUAUUUGCCCCUCUUCCAGGCCAGCUCUCUGCUAUGGCCCGGGAGUGCAGUGGAGGAUGGCCCAAGUGCUUGGGCCCUGCACCCACAUGGGAGACCAGGAGAAGCACCUGGCUCCUGCCUUCGGAUCAGUGCGGUGCGCCGGCCACAGUGCACCGGCUGCGGCGGCCAUUAGAGGGUGAACCAACGGCAAAGGAAGACCUUUCUCUCUGUCUCUCUCUCUCUCUCACUAUCCACUCUGCCUGUCAAAAAAAUAAAUUAAUUAAAAAAAAAAAAAAAGAAAGAAAGAAAA